UGUGGGCUCUAGGAACGCAGUUCAAGUCAUCAGGCUUGUCAACGAGCACCUCAGCUUUCACUGGACCAUAAUGUAGCCCCAAAUUUGUUUUGCUUUGUUUUAUUUUUCAAGACAGGGUUUCUCUAUGUCUGUCUUGGAACUCACACUAUAGACCAGACUGGCCUCCAACUCAGAGAUCCACCUGCCUCUGCCUCCUGAGUGCUGGGACUAAGAUUGUGUGCUACCAAGGGCAGCUUUUGAUUUUGUUGUUGUUAUAUAAUAUUUUUAUUUUAUAAGUCUUUUGCUUCCAUGUAUCUCUGUGUACUUGCAUGUGUAUGCACUAUGCCUGUGGAGGCCAGUAGAGGGCGCCAGAUCCCCUGGAGCUGGAGUUAGUUGACAGCUGCCAUGUGGGUGCUGGGAACAGAUCCUGGGUCCUCUGCAAGAGCAGCCCGUGCUCCUGACCACUGAGCCGACUCUGCAGCUUCCCAUUAUUUUUAUUUUAUUUUGGGGAGAGUGUUUCCAGACAGGAUUUUUCUGUGUUUCUCUGACUGUCCUGAAACUUGCUCAGUAGACCAAGAUGGCUUCAAACUCAGAUCCACCUGCCUCUGUCUCCUGAGCACUGGGAUUGAAAGGCUGUGCCACCGCCCCUUCCUGGCUUUGUUUUUGAAGUGUUAGGCAGGGUCUCACUGUCGUCACUCUCAGCAGUCCUUCUGCCAUUAGAGGGCUGGCUCUCAGGUGUGUGCCCCCACCCUGGCUUAGCUGUUUAUUUUGGGUCUCUCCUACCUCAGACUUCCUCACAGCUAGAAUCAACCCUUGCCUGGUUAAAAAGUAAUACUUUCUGGGCUUGGAGAGCUGGCUCUGUGACUAAGAGCACUGGCUGCUCUUGCAGAGGACCCAGGUCCAAUUCCCAGUACCCACGUGGUGACUCACAGCCAUCUGUAAUCCAGUUCCAGGAGAUCUGGUGCCCCUGGGACCAGACCAGUGACACCAGAGCAGGCACAAAUGUGCCCAGACACACAUGCAGGAAAAACACUGAUACAUGUAAAAUAAAAGUUUUUAACAAUUA
rnacentral:lncRNA from 1 species